ACGGAGAGAGAAGGAGAGAGAGACCGAGAGAGAGAGAGAGAGAGAGAGAGAGAGAGAGAGAGAGAGAGAGAGAGAGAGAGAGAAUUCUGGGCAAUUCUGUUUUGCAUGGCCUCGUUGAUCAACAGACACCAUUAUAGGAUAAAGUAUCCCAUAGAAAAACUGGGGGAAAAAAUGAUCCAACAGGGAAAAGCGACACAGGACAAGAUACUCUUCAGAAGUACACAAGGAUGGAAGGUGGAGAGAGGUGAUGGACUCCUUUCUCUGUGGUGGAUGGAUGGCUUGCUGUUAAACGACUGGAUGGUUCACUUUCAACCAUGUCCCCUGAGCCGGAAACAACUACUAUGUUUUACUGUAGCAUGUAGACUUGAUCUAUCUAUCUGAUGACAUGCAAGUGUCUCUCUACUGUCUCUGUUUGACGAAGAUGCCGGCAAAGGGAUUUCCUUCCUAUCUUUUCCAUUUCCAUUUUAGAGCAUAUUUUAACUGUAACAUAGCUCCUCAUGAUACCUGCAUAUCUCUGGAUCAAGUACAGUACUGUUGGCACUUUCAAUUGUAUGCUGUAUCACAAAUGGCACCCUAUUCCCUAAAUAGUGCACUACUUUUGAUCAGGCUUUGGUAGUGCACUAUGUAGGGAAUGUGGUGAAAUUUCUGACACAGCCCUACUGCUAGUACUGUAUUAUUCCAUUUGUUAAUUAAAAGGCUGUCCACAAGA